UCAGACGAUGCGUCAUGCAUAUCAAUAAGCGGAGGAAAAGAACCUAACAAGGAUUCCCCUAGUAACGGCGAGUGAAGCGGGAAGAGCUCAAAUUUGAAAUCUUAAAGGGUUUCCCUUUACGAAUUGUAGUUUAAAGAAGUGUUUUCUGUUGAGGUUUUGGUAAAAGUUCUUUGGAAUAGGACAUCAUAGAGGGUGAGAAUCCCGUAUUUGACCUUUACUUUCAACUUUGUGAUACACUUUCAAAGAGUCGGAUUGUUUGGGAAUGCAGUCCAAAAUGGGUGGUAAAUUUCAUCUAAAGCUAAAUAUUGGCGAGAGACCGAUAGCGAACAAGUACCGUGAGGGAAAGAUGAAAAGAACUUUGAAAAGAGAGUUAAACAGUACGUGAAAUUGUCAAAAGGGAAGCGUUUGACACCAGUGUUGUUUUUCUGAAAAUCAAUUAAAGAACUGUUUAUGCUAAGUUGUUUAGACUUUAUCAGCUAACUGUUUAGUUUUGAGCUUUUCUUUAAUGCACUUUUCAGUUAACAAGUCAACAUCAAUUUCUUUUGCUGUAAAAAAGCUUGAGGAAGGUGACUUGAGAUUCGUCUUAAGUGUUUAUAGCCUCUUGCCUAUGCAGUCGGAGAGAUUGAGGUCUGCAGCGUAGAUCCUUCGGGGCUAAAUGCAUUUGUGCUAAGUUAUAGCAUUUUAUAGACAACUUGUUGACUAUGAUUUGUCUUGUAGCUUACUCGCUUAUGUUAUUUUACCUACGCUUAGGAUGUUGAAUCUGUGCGAGACUAC
rnacentral:rRNA from 1 species